UUUCAAAGCGGCAGCGCCGCAUGGAGGCCGGGGUCCCCCACUGACCCCAGGCUCCAUGCAGGCGCUUCCGCUUUGAAA
rnacentral:pre_miRNA from 1 species